UAAAUGUUGAGGUUUCCAUAAUAGUGUCGAAAGAUCUUGUGUUCCACAAUACAUAUUUUCUAUUGCCACCCAUUGAGGGAUAUAACUAAUUGAGUGGGCGCUGAUAACAUUCAUAAGUAUUGCAGCAUGAUAAUAUGCUUUUAUAUUUGGUAUCCCCAUACCUCCCUUUUCCACACUUCUCAUCAAUAAUGCUUUAGGGACUCGCGGAUGUUUACCGCCCCAACUAAAACGCACCAUGGUUGCUUGAAUACACGAUAUAUAUUUUUGUGGGAGUAUCAUAUGCAAGGAUCUAAAUAGAUAUAGAAUCUUAGGCAGAAUUACCAUUUUAAGCCCUGCUAUUUUCCC